rnacentral:rRNA from 1 species
UUCCAGACUCCUACGGGAGGCAGCAGUGAGGAAUAUUGGUCAAUGGGCGGGAGCCUGAACCAGCCAAGUCGCGUGAGGGAAGACGGUCCUACGGAUUGUAAACCUCUUUUGCCGGGGAGCAACGGGGUCCUUGCGAGGGCCCGAUGAGAGUACCCGGAGAAAAAGCAUCGGCUAACUCCGUGCCAGCAGCCGCGGUAAUACGGAGGAUGCGAGCGUUAUCCGGAUUUAUUGGGUUUAAAGGGUGCGUAGGCGGUUUUUUAAGUUAGUGGUUAAACGUCGGGGCUUCACCUUGAUUUGCCAUUAAUACUGUAAGACUCGAGUUCAGACGAGGUAGGCGGAAUAAGUUAAGUAGCGGUGAAAUGCUUAGAUAUAACUUAGAACUCCGAUAGCGAAGGCAGCUUACCAGACUGCGACUGACGCUGAAGCACGGGAGCGUGGGUAGCGAACAGGAUUAGAUACCCCAGUA